AGUCCUUCAAAGCUGCUGUGCUGGACUGUCCAAUGAUGAUACAGAAACAGGCCGUCUGGUUUCUUUUCAUGAGGCUGUAACAUGUAGAUCAAAAGUAGAAGCAGCCAAACUGAGAUUUGGGCUGCUGUUCUCUUUCGGGGGGACAUUUGUGAACCUCUGUCUGAAUUCUCAGCCCACCUUUCUUCCAGUAGCCAACUCAAGCCGUGCCUGCCGGCUGAAGACCUCCGGCGUCUGCUGGAUCUCAUCACCGGUUGCCUGUUCCCAAUCCCCUGGAGCGCCUGAAAAAGAGGACCAGGACGGAGCAGGAGGCUUCCGAUAUAGAGCUGAUGGAGCCCUGGCUGACACGAUCAGAGUGGAUCCGAGAGAGGGUCCUGCAGGCCAGUUGCCAGGUGCUGGCUGCCUUCCAGGCCACGGCGAGUCUUCCGGUGAGUUUCCCUCCUCUUCCUCCUCCUCCUCCUCCUCCUCCUCCAGAGGACCAUGUGGCCCCAAUCCCCCUAUUAAGACAGGCUCCCUGGAAGCCUCUCAUCUGUUUCUUUUAAGUUUGGCUCAGUGAAUAUAGACCAGCCUUUUCCCAGCCUGGUGGCCUCUUUAGAAUAAUUAUUUCACCUAUUAAUGACUUACCCUACGUGGUCUCCGACAUUGGAUCAGAGGAGACAAAUGUGAGAAAACUCUUCCUGAGUGCGAUGGGACCACAGCUGUCUAGAUGAAGUGGCUGCCUUUUGUCUGAGGGGUGCAAGUAAUUCUUGCUCCGCUCUUGGGCUACCUC
rnacentral:lncRNA from 1 species